rnacentral:rRNA from 1 species
AGAGUUUGAUCAUGGCUCAGGAUGAACGCUGGCGGCGUGCAUAACACAUUCAAGUCGAACGGAAGCAGAAAUGCUUUAGUGGCGGACGGGUGAGUAACGCGUGAGCAACCUGCCCUUGUGUGGGGAAUAACGUCGGGAAACUGACGCUAAUACCGCAUAAACACACAGUACCGCAUGGUGCAAUGUGCAAAGAUUUAUUGCGCAAGGAUGGGCUCGCGUCCGAUUAGUUAGAUGGCAGGGUAACGGCCUACCAUGACAGCGAUCGGUAGCCGGACUGAGAGGUUGAACGGCCACAUUGGAACUGAGAUACGGUCCAGACUCCUACGGGAGGCAGCAGUGGGGAAUAUUGGGCAAUGGGCGAAAGCCUGACCCAGCGACGCCGCGUGAAGGAAGAAGGUCCUCGGAUUGUAAACUUUAGUACUCAGGGACGAGCAAAGACGGUACCUGAGGUUAAGCCACGGCUAACUACGUGCCAGCAGCCGCGGUAAUACGUAGGUGGCAAGCGUUAUCCGGAAUUACUGGGUGUAAAGGGUGUGUAGGCGGGGAUGCAAGUCAGAUGUGAAAAUUAUGGGCUCAACCCAUAACCUGCAUUUGAAACUGUAUUUCUUGAGAGUCGGAGAGGUAAACGGAAUUCCCAGUGUAGCGGUGAAAUGCGUAGAUAUUGGGAGGAACACCAGUGGCGAAGGCGGUUUACUGGACGACAACUGACGCUGAGACACGAAAGCGUGGGGAGCAAACAGGAUUAGAUACCCUGGUAGUCCACGCUGUAAACGAUGAACACUAGGUGUAGGGGAGCAAUCCUCUGUGCCGCAGUUAACACAAUAAGUGUUCCACCUGGGGAGUACGGCCGCAAGGUUGAAACUCAAAGGAAUUGACGGGAGCCCGCACAAGCAGUGGAGUAUGUGGUUUAAUUCGACGCAACGCGAAGAACCUUACCAGGACUUGACAUCCCCUGACCAUCUCGUAAUGGAGAGUCUUUGACCUUCGGGUCGAACAGGGAGACAGGUGGUGCAUGGUUGUCGUCAGCUCGUGUCGUGAGAUGUUGGGUUAAGUCCCGCAACGAGCGCAACCCUUAUGAUUAGUUGCUACGAAAGAGCACUCUGGUCAGACUGCCGUUGACAAAACGGAGGAAGGUGGGGACGACGUCAAAUCAUCAUGCCCCUUACGUUCUGGGCUACACACGUACUACAAUGGCGCAAACAAAGGGGAGCGAAGCCGCGAGGCGGAGCAAAUCUCAAAAAAGGCGCCCCAGUUCGGACUGCAGGCUGCAACUCGCCUGCACGAAGUUGGAAUUGCUGGUGAUCGUAGGUCAGCAUACUGCGGUGAAUACGUUCCCGGGCUUUGUACACACCGCCCGUCAAACCAUGGGAGCUGGGGACACCCGAAGCCAGUGAGCUAACCGCAAGGAGGCAGCUGUCGAAGGUGGAUUCAGUGACUGGGGUUAAGUCGUAACAAGGUAGCC